rnacentral:rRNA from 1 species
GAUGAACGCUGGCGGCGUGCCUAAUACAUGCAAGUCGAGCGAAUGGAAUAAGAGCUUGCUCUUAUGAAGUUAGCGGCGGACGGGUGAGUAACACGUGGGUAACCUGCCCAUAAGACUGGGAUAACUCCGGGAAACCGGGGCUAAUACCGGAUAACAUUUUGAACCGCAUGGUUCGAAAUUGAAAGGCGGCUUCGGCUGUCACUUAUGGAUGGACCCGCGUCGCAUUAGCUAGUUGGUGAGGUAACGGCUCACCAAGGCAACGAUGCGUAGCCGACCUGAGAGGGUGAUCGGCCACACUGGGACUGAGACACGGCCCAGACUCCUACGGGAGGCAGCAGUAGGGAAUCUUCCGCAAUGGACGAAAGUCUGACGGAGCAACGCCGCGUGAGUGAUGAAGGCUUUCGGGUCGUAAGACUCUGUUGUUAGGGAAGAACAAGUGCUAGUUGAAUAAGCUGGCACCUUGACGGUACCUAACCAGAAAGCCACGGCUAACUACGUGCCAGCCGCCGCGGUAA